CCAAUUCCCAAUGGCAAUAUUUUGUCUAUAUCUGAUUUAUGCUUUGUAUUUCAGAUGAUAGAAAGAUUUCACUGAACUCCCUUAUGAAUAUAGCAAAUUUAUUUUCUGGUAGUAAGAUUAACGCCAGUGACACACAACUUUAUCUGGGAAAUAUAGGUAUUGAAUUAACAAAUAAAAAAAGCCAGGAACUACUGGACAUACUGCCAUUAGAUGAUAAUAAGAUGGUGUAUAAAAAUAGGUUGAUGUAUGGAUUGAAGACAUACAGAGGUGAGUAAGAAGCAUGCCAAGAAAGAGAAAACAGAUU